rnacentral:rRNA from 1 species
AGAGUUUGAUCCUGGCUCAGGACGAACGCUGGCGGCGUGCUUAAAACAUGCAAGUCGAACGGGGUCCAACCUUCGGGUGAAGACCUAGUGGCGAACGGGUGAGUAACACGUGAGCAACCUGCCCCAGAGACCGGGAUAAGCCAGGGAAACUUGGUCUAAUACCGGAUAAUCUCCAUCCGCUACUAACGGGUGGAGCAAAUGGUUUUUCGCUUUGGGAUGGGCUCGCGGCCUAUCAGCUUGUUGGUGGGGUAAUGGCCUACCAAGGCAUCGACGGGUAGCUGGUCUGAGAGGAUGGUCAGCCACACUGGGACUGAGACACGGCCCAGACUCCUACGGGAGGCAGCAGUUAGGAAUCUUGCGCAAUGGGCGAAAGCCUGACGCAGCAACGCCGCGUGAGGGAUGAAGGUUUUCGGAUUGUAAACCUCUUUCAGCAGGAACGAAAUUGACGGUACCUGCAGAAGAAGCUCCGGCCAACUACGUGCCAGCAGCCGCGGUAAUACGUAGGGAGCAAGCGUUGUCCGGAUUUAUUGGGCGUAAAGAGCUCGUAGGCGGCUUAGAAAGUCGGGUGUGAAACCUCCAGGCUCAACCUGGAGACGCCACUCGAUACUUCUAUGGCUUGAGUUCGGUAGGGGUAAGCGGAAUUCCUGGUGUAGCGGUGAAAUGCGCAGAUAUCAGGAGGAACACCGUCGGCGAAGGCAGCUUACUGGGCCGAUACUGACGCUGAGGAGCGAAAGCGUGGGGAGCGAACAGGAUUAGAUACCCUAGUAGUCC